GCCAAAUCACGUUAAAACACCGGUUCUCGUAAGAUCACCGAAGUUAAGCAAUGUUGAGCCUGGUCAGUACCUAGACACUUGGGAAUACAAGAUGCUGUAA